rnacentral:rRNA from 1 species
UACGAAGGGGGCUAGCGUUGCUCGGAUUGACUGGGCGUAAAGCGCACGUAGGCGGUUCGUUAUGUCGGAUGUGAAAGCCCUUGGCUUAACCGAGGAAGUGCAUCCGAAACUGGCGAGCUAGAGUACUAAAGAGGAUCGCGGAAUUCCCGGUGUAGAGGUGAAAUUCGUAGAUAUCAGGAGGAACACCUGUGGCGAAAGCGGCGCACUGGACCACAACUGACGCUGAGGCGCGAAAGCUAGGGGAGCAAACAGG